UACGUAGGGGGCAAGCGUUGUCCGGAUUUAUUGGGCGUAAAGAGCGUGUAGGCGGUUUGGUAGGUCCGUUGUGAAAACUCGAGGCUCAACCUCGAGACGCCGGUGGAAACCAUCAGGCUAGAGUCCGGAAGAGGAGAGUGGAAUUCCUGGUGUAGCGGUGGAAUGCGCAGAUAUCAGGAAGAGCACCCGUGGCUAAGGCGGCUCUCUAGUACGGUACUGACGCUGAGACGCGAAAGCGUGGGGAGCGAACAGG
rnacentral:rRNA from 1 species